rnacentral:lncRNA from 1 species
GGAAGCGGAAGCGGAGAGCGCGGCGUGAAGGUCACCCUGCUGAGAUUUGAUUUCUAAAGACGCAUGUUGCCUGAGCAAGAAGCCCGGCGGGGGAGGAGGAGGAAGAGGAAGGAAGACCAGGAGUCAGGAAUGGCUGUUUCUCAGGGACCAUUGACCUUGGAGGACGUGGCCAUCGAGUUCUCCCCGGAGGAGUGGGCCUGCCUGGACCCUGCCCAGAGGGCCUUGUACUGGGACGUGAUGCUGGAGACCUGCAGGAACCUGCUCUCCCUGGGUGAGCAUCGCUUCCCUCGAGGGCUGGCAUCUGCCCCUGGGUGUCUUUGCAUUUCUGUUACGUGGCUCUUUUGAGCCCGUUUUGCGUUAUUGAUCUGGAAUCUCUGUUGACUCCGUGAAAAACUUCAGGAGGAGGCAUUAGGAGUUUAAACCUAGCUUUUCCUCAGAUGCUCUGCCCACUUCGUGAUGCAUCAGAGGUGGUUUCAGAGCCGGUGCAUUCAUACAAGUCAGCAGGCGCCUUUGAACACACCCACUCGCCUGUUUUCUGUGCUUUUUUGCUUUUGGAGCUCGAGGCAAAGAGCUUCAUUUCUGCAUGUUGUGUGUCGUCAGUCAGGGGGCAGGCCAGGCGAAUUUUUGAAGUGUUUUUCUCUCCCCAUCUGUACUCACCUCAGUUGCAGUUGGACAAGGAAUAAGAUUCUGGAAAAGCCAUCUUUCUUACGUGCUGGAAUGUCUCUUUCUCAUCCGAAUAUUUAACCCAUUCUGGAGCAAGAGAAAGAGCCCUGGGCUGUGGAGAGUGACGUGAAUGCCUUGGGGGGUGUAUCAGAGUGUGGACAGGGAUCAGAUCUCAGAAGGCCCGGGGGGAGGCCUUGUCAUUAAAGAGUGUUUGGGAAACUCUCCCCUCCCUGGAACGUUCGCUGGGGAUACAGAAUUUUAUUUAUUAUUUGAGCUCUGGGAGGACAUUUUUCUUCUCCACAACUUAGCCCUCUGUCCUUCAUCAUGUAAAAUGUAUUCUUUCUCCCUCCAGGGGGGCUGCAGCUUUGACAGAGGCAGAGUCGUUAUCGUGAUCCUCUGUGCGAGUCAUCAGGUGCCCGUGAACUUGUUGCUUGAUUUUGGGGCUCCUGAGGGGGACGUUUUUAAAGGGCCCACUUACCCUGUCAUCUCUGCUUCCAGACUUGAUUCCAUUGGAUGCUCAGUUCUCAGCCCAUGUAGAUCAUAUGUGAGGCCUCCAGACUCUGAUGCCUGAACCUCGCCCGGUUCCAUCCUCAUCUCUUGUUCUCAGGAGACCUCGUCCGAAGAUGGACAAACACUGGCUGCUCUCUGAGUCCGUCUGGCCCCUCAGAGCCUGCAUGCAGCUGCCUCAAGCCCUGUCUGUGUGUUGACACCCCUCAGACCCACCUUCACUCUUGUCUGUAAUGUGGAGGUGGAUUCCAUCUUAUGUCACUGUUACUUGGAAAAACUAAGGACAGUGGACAGAGAGAGAGCCUAUCUUUGAUUCUUUGAUUCCCAUUCCUAAAGGGGAGCUUUUUUUUUUUUUUUUUUUUUUUUGUUUUUUUUAGGGCCCCCCUUUUGGCACACGGAAGUUCCUAGGUUAGGGGUUGAAUUGGAGCUGGAGCUGCUGGCCACAGCCACAGCAACGUGGGAUCUAAACCAUGUCUGCAGCCUACACCACAGGUCAUAGCAACGCCAGAUCCUUCGCCCACUGAGCAAGGCCAGGGAUUGAACCUGCGUCCUCAUGGUUCCUGGUCGGAUUUGCUACUGCUGAGCCACAACGGGAACUCCUAGAAUGACAUCUCAGUGUGAACCAGAAUUCAUUUUGCUCAAUAGACGAUCCUUCCCCAGUUAAUGUUCCUGGCACCCUUGGGGAACAUCCUUUGACCCCAUACGCAAGCGUUUAUUUGUUUUCUCUGUUGGAUGCCAUUGAUCUCUCUGCCAUCAUGCCAGGACUGCACUGCUUUGGGUAUUUUAGGUUGCUAAGAGGUUUGGAAUAAUUGUGAAGCUUCCAGCUUCAUUCUUUUCAAUCUUGUUUUCUGUGUGGAGCAUCUUUUGAGAUUGCGUGUGACUUUUACCUAUUUCUUCAGGACACCCUUGGGAUGUUAGUAGCGACUGGGUAGACUCUGCUGCUUAUGUAGGGUGGUAUUUACAUUCCGAUGAUACUGACUUCCAGCCCAAGAAGUGGGGAUAACUUUUCUCAUAUUUUCUCGUAUUUUUCAGCCGCGUCUCUAAUUUGUAGUGCACAUACUUUUCUGUUUUGGAUCCUCACCCAGGGAGAGCCAGUUCCUGGGGGCGUUUUCCUGGUUUCAGAAAUGCUAAGAACAUCAUCUCGUCCUCUCUGGGAAUAUGAUGUAUGUUUUUAGUGAGUCGACACACGGAAAUACAACCUGUGCAAUAAUCAGGUUGAUAUAUGACGUGGCAAGUCGUGUAACAGAUGUCAAGUUCAUUUCAACUUACAACGUUUUUUUGUUUGUCUGUCUGUUUUGCCUUUUCUAGGGCCACUUCCCGCGGCAUAUGGAGGUUCCCAGGCUAGGGGUCGAAUCAGAGCUGUAGCCGUCAGCCUACGCCACAGCCACGGCAAUGCUGGAUCCGAGUGGCAUCUGCAACCUACACCACAACUCACGGCAACACUGGAUCCUUAAGCCACGGAGCAAGGCCAGGGAUCGAACCCGCAACCUCAUGGUUCCUAGUCGGAUUCAUUAACCACUGCGCCACCACGGGAACGCCAUCAACUUACAACAUGUAAAUCUUUCAUUCUUUCCCUUACUCAUAAAAGAAGUCCUGGAGUUAAAACGGGAGUUAAAAUGGGACCGUUGUAUGCGACUUGCUAAAUCAACUCUUCUUUUUCUUAAAGGUCAGUGUCUCAGUUGCCCCCGUGCAGUUUUGUUCUCACACAUGUGCACCGUCACAAGCUGAGCCCCGUGCUCCCUCGUGGGCACCCACCUGUCCCUCCUCAGGCUCUUUCUCGGGCCCCAUCUUCCUCCCUUGAUGUGGGUGGACACACUGUUAUUUCCUGGCAUAUUUCGUUUAUUGUCCUGAACUUCCCCGUCUCCACAGCACUUUUCCACUCAGCCCUCCUCCGCCUUCCACCUCGAUACUUACACUGUCAACAUAACACCCCUUUCUCUAUGGACAGAUGUUCUUAGGCCAUCACAGCCCUGACGACUCCGAAACCACUUCCAGGGCUCCCGUGAUGGCUCCGCGGAAGUGAGUCUGACGGGUUUGGCCUUGCCGUGAGCUGUGGUGUAGGUUGUAGACACGACUCGGAUCCCGCGUUGUUGUGGCUGUGGUGGAGGCCGGUGGUCACAGCUCCAAUUUGACCCCAUACGCUGUGGGUGCGGCCCUAAAAAGUUAAAAAGAAGAAGAAAAGAAACCGUUUCAGCAAGGGAUGGUGACAACCUUGGUAGUUACACAGCUCCUUUCUUCUCGAAUCUCCCUGGACAUUUGCCUUUAAACUCCUGCUUUUGUUGGAGUAUUUUGUAGUCUGUUCUCCUCGGGAGGCCUUCAUGUUCAAGAAGCCAAAAGCACGUCGUCUCAGCCUGUCAGGCGAGGUUCACACGCUGGUUCUCAAGACUUUCUGUGUCAGUUGGGAUCAUGUACAGAAACCUGUGAUUUCACCCCCCUGACUUGAAAAUUUGUGAUAGUUUCCCCCAUGCCUUUUUAUUUAAAAAAAAAAUUUUUUUUUGGCUGUGCCUGCAACAUAUAAAAAUGGCCAUGCCAGGGAUCAAACUCGUGCUGCAACAGUGACCCAAACCACAGCCUUGGCAAUGGUAGGUCCUUAACCAUAGGCUACCAGACAACUCCUCGAGCCUUAUCUUUUUUUUCUUUCUUUUUUUUUUUUUUUAAAUGCUUUUUAAGGGCUACAUUCACAGUAUAUGAAGGUUCCCAGGCUAGGGGUCAAAUCAGAGCUACAGCUGCCGGCUUAGCCACAGCCACAGCCUCACCAGAUCUGAGCCACGUCUGCAACCUACACCACAGUUCACAAUAAUGCCAGAUCCUUAACCCACUGAGCGAGGCCAGGGAUCGAACCUGCAACCUCGUGGUUCCUAGUCGGAUUCAUUUCCACUGUGCCACGAUGGGAGCUCCUUCUUUUCUUUCUUUCUUUUCCUUUUUUUUUUUUUUUUUUUUUUUUUUUUUUUUUUUUUUUNGCUUUUUCUUGAGACUUUCAAAGGAAAUUGGUAAUGUUAGAUGGCUUGAAAUGGUGCAGAUUUUUACAGCAAAAGAAUCAAAAUUUGCUUUUAUAUAAAAAGAUAUGUUAAUAUUUUGUCGUUUAUUAUGGUAUCCCUUUUUUGCAUUAUAUAUUUUAUGCUUUUCUUUUGCAAUUUAUUCUCAACAGUAUUUGGUGUAACCCUAGUUAAUUUUUUUUUUUUUUUUUCUGUCUUUUUGCCUUUUCUAGGGCCGAUUCCGUGGUAUGUGGAGGUUCCCAGGCUAGGGAUCGAAUUGGAGCUGUAGCCACCAACCUACACCACAGCCACAGCAACGUGGGAUCCGAGCCGCGUCUGCAUCCCACACCAUGGCUCACAGCAACACUGGAUCCUUAACCCACUGAGCAAGGGCAGGGCCGAACCCGCAACCUCAUGGUUCCUAGUCGGAUUCGUUAACCACUGUGCCACAACAGGAACUCCAACCCUAGUUAAAUUUAAAUAAAUUCACAGAUUGCUUGCUCUUCAUGGUAUAUAUUUUGGUGCUAGUGAACUGCAUAUUUUAGGGCACUGUACAGGUAGGGAGUUGCUCCAUCUAUUGGCUGUUUAUAUAACUGGAGACUAUGUCAUUUAUUAAUAUUUCAUUGUGGUUUAGAGGUGAUGGUCUUUCAGAACGUUUUUGCUUUUUUUCUUUAGGACCACACCUACUGCAUAUGGACGUUUGCAGGGUAGGGGUCACAUUCGGAGCUGCAGCUGCUGGCCUAUGCCACAGCCGCAGCAAUGCUGGAUCCAGGCCUCAUCUACAACCUACACCAUAGCUCACAGCAAUACCGGAUCUUUAACCCACUGAGCAAGGCUAGGGAUCCAACCCACAUCCUCAUGGAUACUAGUCGUGUUUGUUAGCACUCGGCUACAGUGGAAACUCUCCAGAAGUUUUUAUGUUGCUUCAUGGGUACACAGUUUUACACGAAGAAUUUAGAAGAGCAUGUUGUUUUUUAAAACUGUUUUAUCAAAUUCUCCAUUUUGGAGUUCCCGCUGUGGCUCAGCAGGAUGGAUGGUUUCUCUGCAGGGGCAGGGAUGCAGAUUUGGUUACGCCCAGCACAGUGAAUGAAGGCUCUAGCGUGACCACAGCUGCGGUAAAGACUGCAGCUCUGACUCAGAUUUGAUGGCUGGCCUGCGAACUCCAUAUGCCGUGGAGCAGCUGAAAAAGAAAAAAAAAA